rnacentral:rRNA from 1 species
AAGGCUUCAGUACGACUAUGUCAGAACUAUAAGUCUCAAAGCCCCGACGAGUAGGGUGGCGUGCCGGUGAGCGUUGAAGGCCAAGACGUGAGUCAGGCUGGAGCCGCCGGUAGUGCAGAUCUUGGUGGUAGUAGCAAGUACUCUGGUGAACCAACCUGGAGCUGUGAGGUCUGGAUUAGGGUUCCAUGUCAACAGUGAUUGAACAUGGGUGAGUCGAUCCUAAGCCAACUGUGAAAGCAGUGACAUCCCGACAAUGGUGCAUUAGGGGGUGUGCCCGGCGCUCGCAUGCUCUAUCGCCUCCUCUCGAUAUUGGGCGUGAUAUAAGUAUCACGUUGGAUAGACUCUUACGCUCGAGGGCGUUGCUGGACCAAGAUGAAAGAGAGGCUGCUUGGGCGAAGAGCUUGCACUGAGCGUUUGAGAUGCGCACACUAUGCUCUCUGCGUUGGUUCUAUGUCCGGCGAAAGGGAAUGGGGACUUUGUUCCUUGACCGGUCCCGGCACCCUCGAUAGGCUUUAGCCGUUCAAUGGUCCAUGCAAAUGGAACCAGGCCAUAGCCGCCGGCAGUCGCCCGAGGAAGAGUUUUCUUUUCUGCUUAACGCACGAGAUCAUCCCUGGAAACAGUUCGGCUGGCGAAAGGGUGCCCCGCUGCGGCAGAGCGCCACGACUGUCGUGCGCGUCUCGGUGUACCUGCUGGUCCGUGAAGACGUGGUCGAGGGGUUGCACUUGUAUCAACGAAACGCCCGACAAGUUCGGGACGGACCGUACCCUAUAUCCGCAUCUGGUCUCCAAGGUUCGUAGCCUCUGCAGAGUCAGACACAUGUAGGUAAGGGAAGUCGGCAAACUCGAUCCGUAACUUCGGGAAAAGGAUUGGCUCUGAGGGCCGAGCUGGGCCGGGCCUUGCCAGCAAAGCAGUACCUAUAGUGACCGGAGUUUUAGGAGUGCGAGGGGCUCUAGUAGCUGCCUAUGGGCACGAACCAGUCUACCGCUCCGCUCCAACCACGAACGGCUGUGACGGCAAGGGCUCUGGGCGGGAGCAUUCAAACUGACUGACCUCCAGCUCGUCUGGGUGGUGGCGGUGCUUCGUCUGACCCAUACGGCUCCAGCAGCCAGCGGCUAACUCAGAACUGUCAUGGACCAAGGGAAUCCGACUGUCUAAUUAAAACAAAGCGUCGUGACGGCCCC